rnacentral:lncRNA from 1 species
CUCAGUAUUUCUGCUCUAAUCAAUAUUAUCAGGUGCAGCCGUAUUUCACCAUUGAAAGGACAAUGAUCGUGUGCCUGCAAGGAGCUUGCACAGAGAAGGAGCUUAAAUUGAGUUUAAUUAAGUGCUGGUUGACUUGAACUAAGGACAGAAAUUCAACUGACCAAUUGUUCCAAAUGGAAGAGUCUAUUAUUUCUCAACAGGUGGAUCAAAAACUGAACAAGAAUGUUAGUCUAACAUUCAAAAUCUUCCAAAAUCUGGCUCUUUUAUGCAUCACGAUGCCCCUAGAACCCAGUACAGCGCCCCAUAGAUAAUGUGUUCAGUGAAUAAUUGUUGAAUAAGUGAAUUAAGUAAUGUCUCCAACCUUUGCUUCCAAUCUUAUCUUCCACUAUGUCCCAGCAUGAGACCUCCACUCAUGGUUUCCUAAAUACUAACUUAUUCAUUCCUACCUGCAAGCCUUUGCUCACAAGACUUCCCCACAUGCUAUGUUCACUCCUUCUUCCUUUAUGCAAAUUUGUCUCACUUUUUCUUUUCUUUUUUUUUUUUUUGAGACAGGGUUUCUCUCCCGCCGCCCAGGCUGGAUUGCAGUGGUACGCUCUCGGCUCACCGCAACCUCCACCUCCUGGCCUCAAGCAAUCCUCCUGCCUCAGCUUCCUGAGUAGCUGGGACUACAGGCACAAGCCACUACACCUGGCUAAUUUUUGUAUUUUUAGUAGAGACGGGGUUUCACCAUGUUGGCCAGGCUGGUCUCGGACUCCUGACCUCAAGUGAUCUGCCUGCCUCAGCUUCCCAAAGUGCUGGGAUUACAGGCGUGAGCCACCAUGCCCGGCCUGUCCCGCUUUUCAAGGUGUGAUGGUUUUGAACUGUGUCAACUUGGUUAAGCUGGAACCACAUUUUCCAGGAUCUCUUUUCCUGUAUGAUUCCAGGUUUAAGUUGACCAAAAGAGAAAUUUGCAAGAGUUCUGGAAAGAACCUCCUGAUUAGAUGUGGUGAGAGACAUAAACAAAGGGGUUAACAAGUUCAAACUGGUCCUCGAAUCUCAGUGUUCUGAGAGCAGCUCUCCUACCUGACUGCUGGCCCUGAUGACCACACCAACUCCCCGCACCCAUCACCAGAUGCAGAGUCAACAACCUUCUAUUGGCUUCUCCAUCAGUUCUCUAUGGUAGUCCCACCCCAGAGCUAGAUACCUGUGGCUUCCCAGAUUUCCCUUGCAAGCUCCCACUCAUCCACCCAUGGCAGUGUUUCUGAUCAUUGAAAGCAUGGAUGGCAGAAAAGAAAAGAAAAAAAAUCUGUGUGUUUAUUCCAAUGGGUAGAAAGUAAAUUUAAAAGUUUACUCUAUUGGGUAGAUGAUGGCCAAAGUAAACCAUUCUCCCUAAUCCUUGCAAUUACUCACAUACAACCUCCAUGCUAAAAAGAAAUAAAAAGUAAUAAGUAGCAAUUUGAUAUCUGAUCUUCCAGCUUUCCUUUCUCGACCUUGUUUCCCCAGAUGCUUCCACAAUUAUGUAAUAUCUAAUUGUUAUAAUCAGUUCCUCAUUCAUAACACUCAUAGUGGUUCUGCUUACCUGAUCAAACCUUGACUGAUACACGAGGCUCAGUUCAUGUAACUGCUAUUCCUUGAUCCCUUCUCUGACUAUUCUAGAGCAAUUUCUCUAUGCUUCUUUGGUACAAUGUGUUUGUGGCCCUCCACUGGCAUUAGUCAUAUAUUAGCUUGUACUGCAUUUACAUCGACAUAGGCCUUCAUGGUUCUAAGUGUAUGGUUGGUAUUUAGGAAGAGUUUAAUGAAUAAAUGAAAAUUUACACAGCCUAUGUGUCACCAUUCUCACACAUAGCAAACAUUAUUUAUUGAUCCCACCUCUUAUUCCCAUGACGCUUGAGCUAAGCCUUACAAUCCUUUUCAACACAGUGCUACAGAUAGGCAGUUGGAAGUGGCAUGGAUGAGGAAACCAGUUUUUCAUGCAGUUUCCGUAAGUCUGAGUAUGAAUUAUACUUUUUAGGCAAAUUAAAUAGCGUCAAAGGUCAUAGUGCAUGUACAGAUUGAAGCUCAGAUGCUACUUCCCUUCCCUACUUCCCACUCUACUGCCCCUAUUUUUCACAUAGUAGAUCCCCAAUAAGUAUUUGUUGAAUGAGAGAAUGUUAGUGUAACCUUCACAAAUGAGCUGUGUGAGCUCUACAAGCCAAAGUGACUCAACGAAGUUCCAAUCUUUUUUUUUUUUUUUUUUUUUUUUUUCUGAGAUGUAGUCUUGCUCUUUUGCCCAAGCUGGAGUGUGGUGGCCCGAUCUCAGCUCACUGCAACCUCUGCCUCCCAGGUUCAAGCAAGUCUACUGCCUCAGCCUCCCAAGUAGCUGGGACUACAGGCGUUAGCCACUACACCCGGCUAAUUUUUGUAUUUUUAGUAGAGACAGGGUUUCACCAUGUUGGCCAGACUAGCCUCAAACUCUUGACCUCAGGUGAUCCGCCCGCCUCAGCAUCCCGAAGUGCUGAGGGAUUACAAGCAUGAGCCACUGCACCCAGCCCCCAGUCCCACCUUUUAAAAUAAUGAAUAAGCAAAAGGCCAGAUAGAGUGAGCCUCUUGCAUUUUAAGAAGCCCAUUCCAGCCAUAACAGUCCUUUCUGAGCUAAAGAAGGCAAAGUACAAACACAUCCAGGCCCCAACUAACAACAACCAAAAUGUCACAUGUUGUCAGGUACUUGGAAAGAGGGAAAACCUUUCUAGCUUUUUUCCUUCUGGUGUUAUUAGCCCACUGCUUGGCAAUGACAUAGAAGGAAGACUGUGAAGAAGAAAAGAAGUUGGAGGGAAAGUUUGGAUUCAAAGGAGCCAGGUAGAAUUAGGUAGAAAAUACAGGGUCUAGAGAAGGAUAUUUUUUGUUCAUUUCUGAAAAAGGGACCCAAAUAAGCACGAUUGAUUUGACACUUGGAAAUACUAUUUUUGGUUUUCUCUCUUUUCCUUAAUUUUGCCCUAUCAACCAAGACCCAUAUCUCUAAGAAUUCUGUCAGGUACUUCCCAUUCCUGUGUUCAUUCUCUUAUUUCCUAUUCCUGUGAAUAAAAUCAGAUGAUGCCUCUGAUAAUCCUGGAAACUGAUCACUGAAAGCAUGGAUGGCAGAAAAGUAAAGAAAAAAAUCUGUGUGUUUAUUCCAAUGGCUAGAAAGUAAAUUUAAAAGGUUACUCUAUUGGGUAGAUGAUGUCCAAAGUAAACCAUUCUCCCUAAUGCUUGCAAUUACUCACAUACAACCUCCAUGUUAAAAAGAAAUAAAAAGCAAUACUGGUCUUUCCUGUUCUCAUUCUCACUUGAAAAUUGUGUGUCUGGUUUCUGUUGGUUUCUCAUUGGAAGAGAAAUUUUAAGAAUACCUCAAUUCAAUUGAUGUGUACUCACAUGCUGAAGUCUGGGGUAUGCACAAGCUAACAAGAGCUAUGCUAGGGUGGGGUGUGGUGGUUCACACCUGUAAUGUCAGCACUUUGAGAGGCUGAGGUGGGAGCACUGCUUGAGCCCAGGAGUUUGAC